rfam:Sorghum bicolor cultivar BTx623 chromosome 9, whole genome shotgun sequence.
UGGCUACAAAAUAACUUAUUUUGUAGCCACUUUGAGUUACGAUAAUUACUAUAUUGAUUUACAAGAUUAUAGUAACUCCUUACUAAGUGGUUUACUAUAACAUUACGGUAAAUAUUCUCAUGUGUUAUAGUAACCCAACCAUCGUAAAUAUGUAUACAUAUUAUCAUAAAUUAAUAUAUAAAAUUAUCAUAAAUGGAGGUGGCUACAGAAUAACAUAUUUUGUAGCUA